rnacentral:rRNA from 1 species
GACGAACGCUGGCGGCGUGCUUAACACAUGCAAGUCGAACGCUGAAGACCUGGCUUUUGUUGGGUUGGAUGAGUGGCGCACGGGUGAGUAACACGUGAGUAACCUGCUCUCUUCUUUGGGAUAACGCCCGGAAACGGGUGCUAAUACUGGAUAUUCACUGAUCUUCGCGUGGGGGUUGGUGGAAAGGUUUGUUCUGGUGGGGGCUGGGCGCGCGGCCUAUCAGCUUGUUGGUGGGGUGAUGGCCUACCAUGGCUUUGACGGGUAGCCGGCCGGGGUGGGUGGCCGGUCAGAGUGAGACGGAGAUACGGCACAGAGUCCCACGGGAGGCAGCAGCGGGGGAUAGUGCACGGUGGGCGAAAGCCUUAUGCAGAGACGCCGUGUGAGGGAGGGAGGCCUGCGGGUUGGAAACCUCUUUCGCACAUGGUCAAGCCGCAACUGUGGGUUGUGGUGAGGGUAGUGGGUAAAGAAGCGCCGGCUAACUACGUG